rnacentral:rRNA from 1 species
AUUCAAUAAUGAUCCUUCCGUAGGGUGAACCUGCGGAAGGAUCAUUA